rnacentral:rRNA from 1 species
GUGGGGAAUCUUCCGCAAUGGACGAAAGUCUGACGGAGCAACGCCGCGUGAACGAUGACGGCCUUCGGGUUGUAAAGUUCUGUUAUACGGGACGAAUGGUACGACGGUCAAUACCCGUCGUAAGUGACGGUACCGUAAGAGAAAGCCACGGCUAACUACGUGCCAGCAGCCGCGGUAAUACGUAGGUGGCAAGCGUUGUCCGGAAUUAUUGGGCGUAAAGGGCGCGCAGGUGGCGUCGUAAGUCGGUCUUAAAAGUGCGGGGCUUAACCUCGUGAGGGGACCGAAACUGCGAUGCUAGAGUAUCGGAGAGGAAAGCGGAAUUCCUAGGGUAGCGGUGAAAUGCGUAGAUAUUAGGAGGAACACCAGUGGCGAAAGCGGCUUUCUGGACGACAACUGACGCUGAGGCGCGAAAGCCAGGGGAGCAAACGGGAUUAGAAACCCUGGUAGUCC